ACGACCUUACUUGAACAGGAUCUGUUCUAUAGGCUUGUACCGCUGCAUCCUUUACCAAUAACGAGGCAAGCACUUAAGUCUGGUUGAUGCAUUCUAACCUCUCUAGGCCAGAGCGUGAUUAACGGCCUGGAUUGCUCCUGAUGGGAGCAUCCAAUUGCUGUACAGGAUCGUCCCUGCCAUGCACAGGUGACACACCUGUGCAGGGUGUGACCUAGAGGUUGUCUGACAGACU
rnacentral:snoRNA from 1 species